AACCGGUGGCCCAAGCAAGAUUUUUGCCAGCUUGAGAAGAGACCGUCACCAAUACCUUAUUUCGGUGCUGUGCUUCUUCAAAUAGAAUUGGAGCAAUCCUCGACUUGAAGCUGCCUUCAAUCGGAAGUGUAUUGAUUAGAAACACUAAAGACAGAGAAGAGUUCCUUAUGGUGGUAUAAGAAGAUUUCAUAUGAAGUAACAGGAUCAAAUGAAGAAAAGGAAAAAUUUCCGGAGAGAGAGAGAGAGAGAAAGUAGGCUGCAGAAUGGGACAAUUAAACUAGUCUGGACAAAGCAAUAAAAAUGCAAUAAAGAGACCAAAUAUGCA